AUGCUCGCUUGGACAGCACAUAUUCUAAAAUUCGAAUGACACAGAGAAGAUUGGCAUGGCCCCUGCCCAAGGAUGACAAAUUUGUGAAGCAUUCCAUUAAAAAUUUUU
ensembl:snRNA U6 U6 spliceosomal RNA